rnacentral:sRNA from 1 species
GAAGUAAAAUGCGCGCUUACGACCCGUGGAAGCUGGUGCAAAUCCAGCACGGUCGCGCCACUGUGACCGGUUGCAGCGCAAACCGGAAGUCAGACCUCGGCGUCGUAUACCUCUUUCUGACAUUGGGGCGCGCACUCCCCGGGAGACAUUC